UACAAUUUUUUCAAGUCGUUUGAUUGACAGUAUACGGUUCAGAUCUGCAGUUGAUUCCACCGUGCUCCUUGCCCCUUCGGGUGACUCCUCCUUGCUCGACCCGUGGAAGCGGAAGCGGAAGCGAACGUGCGACGGAUCCCUCCUCAUUAAAGUUGGUCGCCCCGUCUCUCCUGUUCCCCAUGUCCCUCUCCCCAAACGACACCCGCGCGGCGACGGAUGCAUCUGAAAUCAGCUACAGUGGCGAUGGCGUGGGCAAGGGCAGGAGCACAACGUAAUUGAUCUGGAGGAUGGGUGGAACUUCAAGCGGGCACCAUCUACAAGCUCAUGAACAUCCUCUAGUGCAAGCUGGAUCUGCACUUCAUCUCUACACGGUUCGGCCCCUGUUUGUCUCCUUUUGUCACGCAGCACAAAUCGGGAGCCUUCGCCAUGGCCGCCAAUAUUCAUCUACAAGAUUCAGGGGGAAAUCACCUCACGCAUCUUGAUCUACCAUCUCCUUUUUCUCGGUCAGGUUUGAUGAAGAUUGUGAAAAUUUUGUACACUUUGCCCACUACUGUUUGCAGACAAGCCAUUGCUACAGAUGCAGCAAAAUUAAUUUUCCAUAUAGGCACCAUGAAUGGGCAUAGCUGAAUGAGAGUUUCAGGGCUAUCUCUGUCAGCAUGUUCAGCUUAUGAAACCGACAAGCUAACAUUCUUCUUUGUCAAUGAAAAUUGUGAAGCCUCUCUAAGACUUCUGAAGAAAAAUAGUUUAACAUGGCAUAUAUGUACCAUACGCAGUUUAACAUGGUUCUCAUACUUCAUUGGCCGUGAAGGACACAAGUAUGUACUGCUGGUAAAUGAACUUGGUGAGUAAUCUUUCAAUUAAUAAAAUUGGAUGAAUUUAAAUGGAAACUGAAUAUAGUACAUAUUUUACAUUACUUAUUAUGUGGAUUUUUAGAUUUUUUUUAGGUCUAUGUAGUGAUGACUUUGUUAAACAUUUCUCACCAUUUUUGUCCUUCUUUUGGUCUCUCAGACAUGUAAUCUUAGUGGACUGGAAUCACACCAAGGCAUAUCCGCCUCACCAUAUUAGCUUAUUCACCGCGGACUUUGUAGUAUAGUAACUCUUUUUUUUUACAUCAUAGUGUAGUAACUCUUAGUUAGAUCAUAUUGGUGUUUGUCUUUCCACACUGAUGUGAGAACCAAACAAGUGUCACUAUCAUUGCUAUU